rnacentral:rRNA from 1 species
GACGAACGCUGGCGGCGUGCUUAACACAUGCAAGUCGAACGGAAAGGCCCUGCUUUUGUGGGGUGCUCGAGUGGCGAACGGGUGAGUAACACGUGAGUAACCUGCCCUUGACUUUGGGAUAACUUCAGGAAACUGGGGCUAAUACCGGAUAGGAGCUCCUGCUGCAUGGUGGGGGUUGGAAAGUUUCGGCGGUUGGGGAUGGACUCGCGGCUUAUCAGCUUGUUGGUGGGGUAGUGGCUUACCAAGGGUUUGACGGGUAGCCGGCCUGAGAGGGUGAACGGGCACAUUGGGACUGCGAUACGGCCCAGACUCCUACGGGAGGCAGCAGUGGGGAGUAUUGCACAAUGGGCGGAAGCCUGAUGCGGCAACGCCGCGUGCGGGAUGACGGCCUUCGGGUUGUAAACCGCUUUCGCCUGUGACGAAGCGUGAGUGACGGUAAUGGGUAAAGAAGCACCGGCUAACUACGUG